rnacentral:rRNA from 1 species
CACUAUCGUUAACUGAAUACAUAGGUUAACGAGGCGAACCGGGGGAACUGAAACAUCUAAGUACCCCGAGGAAAAGAAAUCAACCGAGAUUCCCCCAGUAGCGGCGAGCGAACGGGGAGCAGCCCAGAGUCUGAAUCAGCUUGUGUGUUAGUGGAACGGUCUGGAAAGUCCGACGGUACAGGGUGAUAGUCCCGUACACCAAAAUGCACAGGCUGUGAACUCGAAGAGUAGGGCGGGACACGUGGUAUCCUGUCUGAAUAUGGGGGGACCAUCCUCCAAGGCUAAAUACUCCUGACUGACCGAUAGUGAACCAGUACCGUGAGGGAAAGGCGAAAAGAACCCCGGCGAGGGGAGUGAAAAAGAACCUGAAACCGUGUACGUACAAGCAGUGGGAGCACCUUCGGGUGUGACUGCGUACCUUUUGUAUAAUGGGUCAGCGACUUAUAUUCUGUAGCAAGGUUAACCGUAUAGGGGAGCCGCAGGGAAACCGAGUCUUAACUGGGCGUUAAGUUGCAGGGUAUAGACCCGAAACCCGGUGAUCUAGCCAUGGGCAGGUUGAAGGUUGGGUAACACUAACUGGAGGACCGAACCGACUAAUGUUGAAAAAUUAGCGGAUGACUUGUGGCUGGGGGUGAAAGGCCAAUCAAACCGGGAGAUAGCUGGUUCUCCCCGAAAGCUAUUUAGGUAGCGCCUCGUGAACUCAUCUUCGGGGGUAGAGCACUGUUUCGGCUAGGGGGUCAUCCCGACUUACCAACCCGAUGCAAACUACGAAUACCGAAGAAUGUUAUCACGGGAGACACACGGCGGGUGCUAACGUCCGUCGUGAAGAGGGAAACAACCCAGACCGCCAGCUAAGGUCCCAAAGUCAUGGUUAAGUGGGAAACGAUGUGGGAAGGCACAGACAGCCAGGAUGUUGGCUUAGAAGCAGCCAUCAUUUAAAGAAAGCGUAAUAGCUCACUGGUCGAGUCGGCCUGCGCGGAAGAUGUAACGGGGCUAAACCAUGCACCGAAGCUGCGGCAGCGACACUAUGUGUUGUUGGGUAGGGGAGCGUUCUGUAAGCCUGCGAAGGUGUGCUGUGAGGCAUGCUGGAGGUAUCAGAAGUGCGAAUGCUGACAUAAGUAACGAUAAAGCGGGUGAAAAGCCCGCUCGCCGGAAGACCAAGGGUUCCUGUCCAACGUUAAUCGGGGCAGGGUGAGUCGACCCCUAAGGCGAGGCCGAAAGGCGUAGUCGAUGGGAAACAGGUUAAUAUUCCUGUACUUGGUGUUACUGCGAAGGGGGGACGGAGAAGGCUAUGUUAGCCGGGCGACGGUUGUCCCGGUUUAAGCAUGUAGGCUGAUUAUCCAGGCAAAUCCGGAUAAUCAAGGCUGAGGUGUGAUGACGAGGCACUACGGUGCUGAAGUAACAAAUGCCCUGCUUCCAGGAAAAGCCUCUAAGCAUCAGGUAACAUCAAAUCGUACCCCAAACCGACACAGGUGGUCAGGUAGAGAAUACCAAGGCGCUUGAGAGAACUCGGGUGAAGGAACUAGGCAAAAUGGUGCCGUAACUUCGGGAGAAGGCACGCUGGUGUGUAGGUGAAGCCCCUGCGGGUGGAGCUGAGACCAGUCGAAGAUACCAGCUGGCUGCAACUGUUUAUUAAAAACACAGCACUGUGCAAACACGAAAGUGGACGUAUACGGUGUGACGCCUGCCCGGUGCCGGAAGGUUAAUUGAUGGGGUUAUCCGUAAGGAGAAGCUCUUGAUCGAAGCCCCGGUAAACGGCGGCCGUAACUAUAACGGUCCUAAGGUAGCGAAAUUCCUUGUCGGGUAAGUUCCGACCUGCACGAAUGGCGUAAUGAUGGCCAGGCUGUCUCCACCCGAGACUCAGUGAAAUUGAACUCGCUGUGAAGAUGCAGUGUACCCGCGGCAAGACGGAAAGACCCCGUGAACCUUUACUAUAGCUUGACACUGAACAUUGAGCCUUGAUGUGUAGGAUAGGUGGGAGGCUUUGAAGCGUGGACGCCAGUCUGCGUGGAGCCAACCUUGAAAUACCACCCUUUAAUGUUUGAUGUUCUAACGUUGGCCCCUGACCGGGGUUGCGGACAGUGUCUGGUGGGUAGUUUGACUGGGGCGGUCUCCUCCCAAAGCGUAACGGAGGAGCACGAAGGUUAGCUAAUCCUGGUCGGACAUCAGGAGGUUAGUGCAAUGGCAUAAGCUAGCUUGACUGCGAGCGUGACGGCGCGAGCAGGUGCGAAAGCAGGUCAUAGUGAUCCGGUGGUUCUGAAUGGAAGGGCCAUCGCUCAACGGAUAAAAGGUACUCCGGGGAUAACAGGCUGAUACCGCCCAAGAGUUCAUAUCGACGGCGGUGUUUGGCACCUCGAUGUCGGCUCAUCACAUCCUGGGGCUGAAGUAGGUCCCAAGGGUAUGGCUGUUCGCCAUUUAAAGUGGUACGCGAGCUGGGUUUAGAACGUCGUGAGACAGUUCGGUCCCUAUCUGCCGUGGGCGCUGGAGAAUUGAGGGGGGCUGCUCCUAGUACGAGAGGACCGGAGUGGACGCAUCACUGGUGUUCGGGUUGUCAUGCCAAUGGCACUGCCCGGUAGCUAAAUGCGGAAGAGAUAAGUGCUGAAAGCAUCUAAGCACGAAACUUGCCCCGAGAUGAGUUCUCCCUGAGACUUUAAGUCUCCUGAAGGAACGUUGAAGACGACGACGUUGAUAGGCCGGGUGUGUAAGCGCAGCGAUGCGUUGAGCUAACCGGUACUAAUGAACCGUGAGGCUUAACCUU